rnacentral:rRNA from 1 species
GGAGCAUGUGGUUUAAUCGAAGCAACGCGAAGAACCUUACCAGGUCUUGACAUCCGAUGCUAUUUUCUAGAGAUAGAAAGUUACUUCGGUACAUCGGUGACAGGUGGUGCAUGGUUGUCGUCAGCUCGUGUCGUGAGGUGUUGGGUUAAGUCCCGCAACGAGCGCAACCCCCGCCGUUAGUUGCCAGCGGUUCGGCCGGGCACUCUAACGGGACUGCCCCGCGAAAAGCGGGGAGGAAGGAGGGGACGACGUCUGGUCAGCAUGGCCCUUACGGCCUGGGCGACACACGUGCUACAAUGCCCACUACAAAGCGAGGCCACCCGGCAACGGGGAGCUAAUCGCAAAAAGGUGGGCCCAGUUCGGAUUGGGGUCUGCAACCCGACCCCAUGAAGCCGGAAUCGCUAGUAAUCGCGGAUCAGCCAUGCCGCGGUGAAUACGUUCCCGGGCCUU